AGAAAAAGACCCAAAAAAGAUUAAUUUUACAAGCAUGUCUUAGAGGACACUAUGCUACUCUACGACCAGCACCACCCAGUGCUCCUCGAACGUCAGCCAAGGGUCAUCCGGCGUUCCUCGUCGUAGAUCCAGCCAUCCAAACCGAAGUCAUGAGAAUGCAUGUCUUUGCUGAAAAUGCUCCCAUAAACCUAUAUGUGCCACAUGAUGAAAAUUAUGUGAGACUAGAAUAUUAUAGUCAGUAGGUUAAACUCGAAGUAGCUUAUACACUUUAUCAAGUUCUAUAUUUUUCACUCCCACGAUGCAAAGUAGUGAAACUAAUCAAUCAUGUGAAAAGAAGCAGGUAGUGGCAACACAAAUGAUGAGCAUGCAUAGAACAAAAGCUGGUAGUAAACUCCACUAUGCUUAUUUGACAUGAAGUUCUAAGCUAUCACUACACUAAACUCAAAUCAAGCUACGAAAAUAUCCUGAAUAACGUGUGUGAAACUUUAAAAGAGUUACAAAAUUUAAGUCAAGGGGAUGCACUUUGUUCUACAUUUAGAGCUCUAAGUUGCUGAUGAAAAAAGUACAGUUUUCAGGUUUGCUCUCUAGUACUACAUUCACACAUCUGUAGAACAAGUCCAUUCUAGCAAGAUAUAGAGUCGCAACUGAAUUUAUAUCUAACAAGUUGCUUCCAAAUUAAUUCCAAAGAUCAGUACGACAGAAACUUGAAGGCCAAUGCACGUUAGACAAAAAUAGCUAUAUCAAAACAUGAUUUGUUUUUAGAUAGCAAUAUCAUCCAGAUUUGGGGUAAAGUGAGGAGAGGCUCACCACACUAGGAGGCAAGGACGAUGUAGCCGUCAAUGGGCUGUCCAAGCAUUAUACGAUAAG
rnacentral:lncRNA from 1 species